AUUGAACGCUGGCGGCAGGCCUAACACAUGCAAGUCGAACGAGUGGCGGACGGGUGAGUAAUGUCUGGGAAACUGCCCGAUGGCGGGGGAUAACUACUGGAACCGGUAGCUAAUACCGCAUACCAGCGGCUGAUCCCAGGUUGGAUUAGCUAGUAGGUGGGGUAAUGGCUAACCUAGGCGACGAUCCCUAGCUGGUCUGAGAGGAUGACCAGCCACACUGGAACUGAGACACGGUCCAGACUCCUACGGGAGGCAGCAGUGGGGAAUAUUGCACAAUGGGCGAAAGCCUGAUGCAGCCAUGCCGCGUGUAUGAAGAAGGCCUUCGGGUUGUAAAGUACUUUCAGCGAGGAGGCGGUACUCGCAGAAGAAGCACCGGCUAACUACGUGCCAGCAGCCGCGGUAAUAC
rnacentral:rRNA from 1 species